ACGGGAGUAGCUCAGUUGGUUAGAGCGCACGCCUGAUAAGCGUGAGGUCGGCAGUUCAAAUCUGCCCUUCCGUACCA
rnacentral:tRNA from 2 species